rnacentral:misc_RNA from 1 species
CAACCCUCAAGCCCGGCUUGGUGUUGGGGAUCGGCGUCGCGCCCCCGGGCGCUGCCGUCCCCUAAAUCUAGUGGCGGUCCCGCUGCAGCCUCUCGUGCGUAGUAGUCUUCUCCUCGCACUGGCAGCUCGGCGUGAUCCUGCCGUUAAACCCCCAACUUCUGAAA